CCGAGUUUACAACUCCCAAACCCAAUGUGAACCAUUACCAAACUGUUGCCUCGGCGGGGUCACGCCCCGGGUGCGUAGAAGCCCCGGAACCAGGCGCCCGCCGGAGGACCAACCAAACUCUUUCUGUAGUCCCCUCGCGGACGUAUUUCUUACAGCUCUGAGCAAAAAUUCAAAAUGAAUCA
rnacentral:misc_RNA from 1 species